rnacentral:rRNA from 1 species
UACGGGGGGAGCAAGCGUUGUUCGGAUUUACUGGGCGUAAAGGGCGCGUAGGCGGCCACCGCAAGUCAAUUGUGAAAUCUCCGGGCUUAACUCGGAAAGGUCAACUGAUACUGCGGGGCUAGAGUGCGGAAGGGGCAACUGGAAUUCUCGGUGUAGCGGUGAAAUGCGUAGAUAUCGAGAGGAACACCUGCGGCGAAGGCGGGUGCUGGGCCGACACUGACGCUGAUGCGCGAAAGCCAGGGGAGCGAACGGG